AACCAGUUGUGGGCCCCAUCCUAUGGAGUGAUCCACUACAAAUGUGUAGGUUAUAUCCCGGAUCUCACUGCCUUUGCUGGCAUCAACAAGACCAGAACACAAAUGUAAGGCUUGCACGUUCCACAAUCAUUUGGUGAUCAUGAGCUAAUACAAAUGAGGAUGAAACUUACAGCACUAAGGAUGGCAGAGAGAAAAUAGAGCAAGAACAUGGAUUGCUGAUGGUACUGUUAGCCUAAUACGCUAGCCUUCAAGUGCCUCACUUCAGUGUCCACAUUAUUUGAAAUAAAUGAAGGUGUACAUGUCUAA